rnacentral:rRNA from 1 species
AGGACGAACGCUGGCGGCGUGCCUAACACAUGCAAGUCGAACGAGAUCCAACUUGUGGCAACACUUGUGAAGAUCUAGUGGCGAACGGGUGAGUAACACGUGAGGAACCUACCCCGGAGACCGGGAUAACUGGCCGAAAGGCCAGCUAAUACCGGAUGUCCCCAUCGGAUCGCAUGGUCUGAUGUGGAAAUGGAUUCCGCUCCGGGAGGGCCUCGCGGCCCAUCAGCUCGUUGGUGAGGUAACGGCUCACCAAGGCAUCGACGGGUAGCUGGUCUGAGAGGACGACCAGCCACACUGGGACUGAGACACGGCCCAGACUCCUACGGGAGGCAGCAGUGGGGAAUCUUGCGCAAUGGGCGAAAGCCUGACGCAGCAACGCCGCGUGGGGGAUGAAGGCCUUCGGGUUGUAACCCUUUCAGCAGGGACGAAUUGACGGUACCUGCAGAAGAAGCCCCGGCUAACUACGUGCCAGCAGCCGCGGU